rnacentral:misc_RNA from 1 species
GUCUUGUUAAGCAUUGCCCAUGUGGUAGGUAGCCAAGUUUAGACAUUCAAGUUCAAUUUACUUGCUUGUCAUAUGAGCACAUACGACUGCACAACUUCUUUCUCUUAUUUAUUUAUUGAUUCAUACAUUUUUAUUGAACCAUCCUCCUCUUUCUUUCCCCCACCUACACAUACACAAACAGAGCCCCUGAAUUGGCAUUUCAACAGUGGUUUACAAUUCUCUAUAUUUCAACUGUGUUGCUGCAAAACCAUUUUGUAUGAACUGUGUCUCUUGAUUAGGAACUGUAUCAAUAUGUCAAAGCAAAGAGAUGAAUUUAGAAGUUUGAAGAGUAGUGUUAAAAAGAAAGUAUUAGACAUCUUAAGGAACUGUUGGUGCCUUGAUGGCAGUGGCAGUUGGACAUGAGACGGUUUCCCGUUCUUUGAUUUUUUUAUUCUGAAGCACCUUAUGAGCCCCAUAUUGUUUGGGAUUGAAGUUAAGUACCUUAUUAGCCGCAACUUGUUUUGGGUUAAAGUUUAGUUGAGUUGAAAUACCUUAUUAGCCUUGUCUUGUUUGGGUUUAAAGUUUAGUUGAGUUGAAGUACCUUGUUAGUCCCAACAACUUUGGGUGCAAGGUUUAGUUUGGUCGAGUAUGUUAUUGGUUUAUGCAAAGUUGAUCCUUUUCGCUCUCCAACACAAUAAUCCUGGUAGAAGUAAAUGUUAGUGAAAGAAGACAUCUUAUUAAGUAUUGUUACAAUCCCAUUGCAAGAAAACUUGUCGCACAUUGAAACGCCAUAUAUACCCCACAUUGAAAUCUUAUACUUUCGACAUGGGACACAAGUUUUUCUUGGAUUGGAUUGUAACACUGAGUCUACUAAUCCAUUUACUAGUCUUUGCAUCAAACUUAGGAAAUAAUUGUUCUGUCCUGCUCAGGCUUCAGCAGUUUGAGUGCAAGCUUCAAUGAAAUUAUUAUUGUGUGGGAAUUUGGGGAUUCUAAUUAAUCCCUAAAAGUAGAAUCACCUUCUAGAUGCAACAAGACUCAUCUUCUUAAUUUGUUUUUCAUUUAAAAACUUAAAGUUCUUAUUUUAAAUUAACAAUAAUUCCAAGAUAAGUAAGUUUCUGAAUAAAUCCUAAAUAUUUUUUUUUCCUUUCGUGAGAUCAUUUCAAAUUCAAUUAUAUUUAUUUUUCCUUGCUUCUGUUAAGCUAUGGGCUGUCUUUAUUUGACCCGGAGCAGUGUGCGAGUAAUUUGGUGCAAGUAAUCAAGGUUUCUAGACUUGCUUUUUUACCUUAGAACAAAUUGUG